GUGGGGAAUAUUGGACAAUGGGCGAAAGCCUGAUCCAGCCAUGCCGCGUGUGUGAAGAAGGUCUUCGGAUUGUAAAGCACUUUAAGUUGAGAGGAAGGGCAGUAAGUUAAUACCUUGCUGUUUUGACGUUACCAACAGAAUAAGCACCGGCUAACUUCGUGCCAGCAGCCGCGGUAAUACGAAGGGUGCAAGCGUUAAUCGGAAUUACUGGGCGUAAAGCGCGCGUAGGUGGUUUUGUAAGUUGGAGGUGAAAGCCCCGGGCUCAACCUGGGAACUGCCUCCAAAACUGCAUGACUAGAGUACGGUAGAGGGUAGUGGAAUUUCCUGUGUAGCGGUGAAAUGCGUAGAUAUAGGAAGGAACACCAGUGGCGAAGGCGACUACCUGGACUGAUACUGACACUGAGGUGCGAAAGCGUGGGGAGCAAACAGGAUUAGAUACCCGAGUAGUCC
rnacentral:rRNA from 1 species